ACCCUCGUUCCAUGUUGCCAGCGGGUUAUGCCGGGGACUCAUGGGAGACUGCCGGGGUCAACUCGGAGGAAGGUGGGGAUGACGUCAAGUCAUCAUGCCCUUUAUGUCCAGGGCUUCACACAUGCUACAAUGGCCAGUACAGAGGGCUGCGAGGCCGUGAGGUGGAGCGAAUCCCUUAAAGCUGGUCUCAGUUCGGAUUGGGGUCUGCAACUAGACCCCAUGAAGUUGGAGUCGCUAGUAAUCGCAGAUCAGCAACGCUGCGGUGAAUACGUUCGCGGGCCUUGUACUCACCGCCUA
rnacentral:rRNA from 1 species